UAGGGAAUCUUCGGCAAUGGACGGAAGUCUGACCGAGCAACGCCGCGUGAGUGAAGAAGGUUUUCGGAUCGUAAAGCUCUGUUGUAAGAGAAGAACGAGUGUGAGAGUGGAAAGUUCACACUGUGACGGUAUCUUACCAGAAAGGGACGGCUAACUACGUGCCAGCAGCCGCGGGUAAUACGUAGGUCCCGAGCGUUGUCCGGAUUUAUUGGGCGGAAAGCGAGCGCAGGGGGGUAGAUAUAGUCUGAAGUUGAAGGCUGUGGCUGUACCUUAANCAGAUUUAGGAAACUGGAUACUGUUUAAGUUGAGUGCGAGAGGGGAUACCGNAAUUCCAUGUGUAACGGUGAAAUGCGUAGAUNUAUGGAGGAACACCGGUGGCGAAAGCGGUUGUCUGGCUUGUAACUGACGCUGAGGCUCGAAAGCGUGGGGAGCAAACAGGAUUAGAUACCCUGGUAGUCCACGCUGUAAACGAUGAGUGCUAUGUGUUAGACCCUUUCCGGGGUUUAGUGCCGUAGCUAACGCAUUANGCACUCCGCCUGGGGAGUACGACCGCAAGGUUG
rnacentral:rRNA from 1 species